rnacentral:lncRNA from 1 species
AGGGAAUGGAGGGAGUGGAAAUGGGAAAGCUGGUGGUGGGGGUGAGGGAGUCAAGCCUGGUAUGGGUGGGAGGUUAAUCAAUGGAGGUGGAGACUGAAAGGGGUUGGGAGGAAGGAGGGGAGGAGGCUGAAAUGGGUUGGGGGGCAAUGGAACAAUGGAGGCAGGAGGAGGCGAUGGUAUGAGUGGAGGGAAGAAAAACUCAGGAUGGGCUGGUUUUUGAUUCAGCAGUUGAGGUGCAUUCAUGGAGGAUUGAGGUAGUUUGGACUGGGGUUUAGGUGGAAACUUUGGUAGGCCAGGGAGGGGUGGGAGUGGUGGAAGCGUGGGAAGUAGAGGAAGCGGUGGGAAAUAGUACUGAUUUGUGGGUGGAAGGUCUGGGGUUUGAAUUGGUGGUGGGAAUUGGAUUGGAUCAUUAGGAGGAUAUAAAGAUUUUAUGGAACCCAGUUGCUUUGAGUUUCCCACGCUUGGUUUCUGGUUACACAGAUAUGGUUGUUUAAGAGGCUUGAAUGAGAAAAACCCUGCUGAGAAUAUGUGAAUUCCCUGCUUUCUUGAUUUGAGGCGGAGUGAAGAUGAAGUAGCUGUGGAGGCCACAGAACAGUAGGGCUCGCUGCUACUGAUCAGUCUCACGGAACACCUCUUGAUUUUCC